GAUGAACGCUGACAGAAUGCUUAACACAUGCAAGUCUUUGGCGAAGCUGUGCUUGCACAGCCUAGCCACGGCGGACGGGUGAGUAACGCGUAAGGAACUUGCCCUGCAGUCAGGGAUAACAGACGGAAACGACUGAUAAGACCUGGUAAAGUCAGGCGGACUCAUGUCCAGCCUGAUGAAAAGAGAUGCUGCAGGAGAGCCUUGCGUCCUAUUAGCUUGUUGGUGGGGUAACGGCCCACCAAGGCGAUGAUAGGUAGCCGGCCUGAGAGGGUGGACGGCCACAAGGGGACUGAGAUACGGCCCCUACUCCUACGGGAGGCAGCAGUGGGGAAUAUUGGACAAUGGGGGCAACCCUGAUCCAGCAAUUCUGUGUGCACGAUGAAGGUUUUCGGAUUGUAAAGUGCUUUCAGCAGGGAAGAAAAAAAUGACGGUACCUGCAGAAGAAGCGACGGCUAAAUACGUGC
rnacentral:rRNA from 1 species